CGCGUAGGCGGACUAUUAAGUCAGGGGUGAAAUCCCGGGGCUCAACCCCGGAACUGCCUUUGAUACUGGUAGUCUUGAGUUCGAGAGAGGUGAGUGGAAUUCCGAGUGUAGAGGUGAAACUCGUAGAUAUUCGGAGGAACACCAGUGGCGAAGGCGGCUCACUGGCUCGAUACUGACGCUGAGGUGCGAAAGUGUGGGGAGCAAACA
rnacentral:rRNA from 1 species